CUGUAAAAUAAAUCUGGUAGUCCGAAUAAACGUCAAAAUUAUAUUGUCAUUUUUUGGCAGUUGAGCAGUCUCCCUUCUCACUCUUGCUACCGUCAUUAGUUGUCUCGAUUUUAAUCGUGUGCUCGAGCGAAAUGAACCGAAUCAUCGCCAUUGCGAUUUUUUCAGCGUGUUCAGCAAUUGUGAAAUUCCCAUUUGUGGUGCCAAUUAAAUUGAUGCCGCUCCAUGCAAUUCUAAAACUGUUUUUUUAGCUUCUUUCACACGGCAGUGAAUAACAACAUCAACUACCAGAUGCAGGCCAUCAGCUGCUGCACCAACAGCUAUUGUUAUUCCCCCACCGCAGUAACAGCAGCGAUAUCGUCAUCACCACAAUGGUGGGGGCCGAAGAUAUCAUCCUAAUCAUCAUCGGGGUGCAUUGGUUGGAUCUAACCAUCAACACCAGAAAACGGCCAUCGCAUUUGCAACAACAGUAAGCGUUCAGCAAAAAACAGGACAAACAAGGAUCAUCCGGCGUUAAUUGCCAAACGAGAAGCAGCAACAAGCAGCCACACGGGAAGACGUAAAAUUCAAACUAGUCUUCAUCCUGGCUCCUGAAUCCGCAAAAAACGAUGUUCUACCGAUCAUCAAAAAUGCGAUCAGCUGUGGCAGUAUCACAACAUCCUCAGCCGUGUAGCACUGGGUAAGGUGCCAAUAAAACAUCCAAAUUUUUGCCGAAAGCAUACCGACCGGCCGAAAAAACAGGCAACUGUUUCCCAGGAGGAUCCACGUCAUGCGCUUCGUAUUUUCUCUUUUUUCAAAAUUUUCCGGUUAACGAAGUUUGAAUGCAAUUUGCCGGAUUUCAACAGCCUUUCUGGAAUGGACGGGGCUCGCACAAAAUUGCACCAGGGAGCGGGAAUCAUACUUAAAAAUCGGAUCGAAAUAUUUCAGGUUUCAGGAAAAGCAGAAAUAACGAUCCAGUACUUACCGGAAAGUUUAAAUUAAGCUCUAUCUUCUAUGGAAAUCCCGCAUAUUGUCAAGUUCUAUAGAAAGUAUUAUCGAAGCCGGUCCGCUGCAAGAUUCUCGGAAAAUUCCAAAAGCUAUACGCAAAAAUCAACCGAUCAAGCGAUCGCUGUCUGUACGCUUGUUUUCAUUAAUAUUCUUAAAAUUAUUGUCAUAUUAAGUAUCUGCUGUGAAAAUUUGUUUUAAAAAUACAAGUUUUAAUUAUUACAAUGUAAUUAUAAAGUUGAAAUGUGAUGAUAAUAAUUAAACGGACAUCAGAAAAUGGCAAGUGUUUAUUAAUGACCUAACCAUAUACGUUCUGUCAUUUCACAUUAACUCACAGUAGCUUUAACCGAAAUUUUUGUAAUUAUUGCCAAAAUGA